GUGCCAGCCGCCGCGGUAAUACCGGCGGCUCGAGUGGUGGCCACUUUUAUUGGGCUUAAAGCGUUCGUAGCUGGGUUGUUAAGUCUCUUGGGAAAUCUGGCAGCUUAACUGUCAGGCGUCUAAGGGAUACUGGCAAUCUUGGGACCGGGAGAGGUGAGGGGUACUUCGGGGGUAGGAGUGAAAUCCUGUAAUCCUCGAGGGACCACCUGUGGCGAAGGCGCCUCACCAGAACGGCUUCGACAGUGAGGGA
rnacentral:rRNA from 1 species